GUGCAGCAGGCGAGAAACCUCCGCAAUACACGAAAGUGUGACGGGGCCAUCCCGAGUGCCGUCCGCUGAGGACGGCUUUUCCCCAGUGUACACAGCUGGGGGAAUAAGGAGAGGGCAAGCCUGGUGUCAGCCGCCGCGGUAAUACCAGCUCUCCGAGUGGUGGGGACGCUUAUUGGGCCUAAAGCAUCCGUAGCCGGCUGGGCAAGUCCUCCGUUAAAUCCAACGAUUCAAUCGUUGGGCUGCGGGGGAUACUGUCCAGCUUGGGGGCGGGAGAGGCCGACGGUAUUCCCGGGGUAGGGGUGAAAUCCUAUAAUCCCGGGAGGACCACCAGUGGCGAAGGCUGUCGGCUAGAACGCGCCCGACGGUGAGGGAUGAAAGCGUGGGGGAGCGAACCGGAUUAGAUACCCGUGUAGU
rnacentral:rRNA from 1 species